rnacentral:rRNA from 1 species
UACGUAGGGUGCAAGCGUUGUCCGGAAUUAUUGGGCGUAAAGAGCUCGUAGGCGGUCUGUCGCGUCUGCUGUGAAAACUCGGGGCUUAACCCCGGGCCUGCAGUGGGUACGGUCAGACUAGAGUGCGGUAGGGGAGACUGGAAUUCCUGGUGUAGCGGUGAAAUGCGCAGAUAUCAGGAAGAACACCCGUGGCGAAGGCGGCUCUCUGGGACGGUACUGACGCUGAGACGCGAAAGCGUGGGGAGCGAACAGG